GGGACACCAACCCACGCGCAGUUACCGCCAAGAAUUAGCCGCGAGUGGAGGUGCGCUUCCCUUGCUGCCCUUCUCUUCCUUUGUUCUGCUCUGUUUGUUGUCGCAGUACAAGAGAAAAGUGCAGAUAAAUAGUUUGUGAUCCCAGGAGAACACAAGAAUCCGUGAUAUGAAGAAAAAACUGGGAAAAGAGAAGAAAAAAGAAGAAAAGAGGAGGAGAAAGAGAAGAUGAAUGAAAUGAAGUCCAUCACUACAGAAGAAGAGGAAGCAGAGGAAGAGGAAGCAGAGGAAGAGGCAGCCCUAUACCUCUCAAGAAACUACAAGGUUCUUCACUAGUUCACAUCUGUUAUACCUGAAGCUGCACCGGAUGGGCACCAGUUGGCUCUCAGGGGAUGUGUUCUACUGAUCACGCCCAUCAUCGGAGGGUCCAGGAAGGGCAGUUCUCUCUCUCCACGUUUACUGAUGAGGACUUGGCCGUCAGUGAUGCCCGCAGGCGACCAGCUGGUUAACCCACACUACCAGCAAGUGAGCAUCGGCUUCGGUUCUUAAUAUGGCAAUGAUUACUGAUACUUUACACAUGUUACGCGUUUUCAUGCAAGCACAAAACUGUUGAACAUUUCACUCAUGAUUACUGAGGAAUAACGAGGAGAAGAAAAAAGAAGAGAAGGAGGAGGAAGAGAAGAUGAAUAAAAUGGACUCAAUCAUUACAAAGCGAGAGGGAGCAGAGGAAGAGGCAGCACCACCACCACCACCACUACUACUACUACUACUACUACUACUACUACUACUACUACUACUACUACUACUACUACUACUACUAGUACUACUAUUAACACCACCACUACUACUACUACAAUUUUAAGUAUGCACACAGAGAGAGAGAGAGAGAGAUUUAAGCCUUAACCAGUAUGGUGUUUAAUGUUUCAUUUAUUUGCUAUCUUAUUGGUUUACCAAUUAUUGUUGUUGUUGUUGUUGUUGUUGUUGUUGUUGUUGUUGUUGUAAUCAUCAUCAUCAUCAUCAUCAUCAUUACUAUUGCCAUUAUGAUGUUUUGUCAAGGAUUACAUCAGGAGAUGCAAGUCAAUAAGGGAAUAAGGCCCUCCUCCUCCUCCUCCUCCUCCUCCUCCUCCUCCUCCUCCUCCUCCUCCUCCUCCUCCUCCUCCUCCUCCUCCUCCUCCUCCUCUUCCUCUUCUCCUCCUCUUCCUCUUCUCCUCCUCUUCUCCUCCUCCUCCUCCUCUCCU